rnacentral:rRNA from 1 species
GAUGAACGCUGGCGGUGUGCCUAACACAUGCAAGUCGAGCGAACAGACGAGGAGCUUGCUCCUCUGACGUUAGCGGCGGACGGGUGAGUAACAUGUGGAUAACCUACCUAUAAGACUGGGAGAACUUCGGGAAGCCGGAGCUAAUACCGGAUAAUAUAUUGAACCGCAUGGUUCAAUAGUGAAAGACGGUUUUGCUGUCACUUAUAGAUGGAUCCGCGCCGCAUUAGCUAGUUGGUAAGGUAACGGAUUACCAAGGCAACGAUGCGUGGCCGAACUGACAGGGUGAUCGGCCACACUUGAACUGAGACACGCUCCAGAGUCCUACGGGAGGCAGCAGUAGGGAAUCUUCCGCAAUGGGCGAGAGCCUGACGGAGCAGCGCCGCGUGAGUGAUGAAGGUCUUCGGGUCGUAAAACUCUGUUAAUAGCGAAGAACAAAUGUGUAAGUAACUAUGCACGUCUUGACGGUACCUGAUCAGAAAGCCACGGCUAACUCCGUG